AGUGAACGCUGGCGGCAGGCCUAACACAUGCAAGUCGAACGGAAACACAGUAAGCUCUCGCCUCUACCGGUGGCGACGGGCGGAUGGGUGAGGCAUGGAUAGGAUACUACUUUUUCGUGGGGGAUUACGUAGGGCAGGAUACGCUAAUAGCGCAUACGACCUACGGGUUAAAGCAGUAGAUCAUCACGCCUUUGGCGUCAGUUAUAGCCGAUGCCGCAUUAGCUAGUUGGCAGGGUAAAGGCACACCAAGGCGACGAUCCGUAGCUGAUCUGAGAGGAUGAUCGGCCACACUGGAACUGAGACACGGUCCAGACUCCUACGGGAGGCAGCAGUGGGGAAUAUUGGACAAUGGGCGCAAGCCUGAUCCAGCCAUGCCGCGUGGGUGAUGAAGGCCUUCGGGUUGUAAAACCCUUUUGCUAGGGAAGAAAAGCUGCAGAUUUAUACCCCGCUGUUCUGACGGUACCCAAAGAAUAAGCACCGGCUAACUUCGUG
rnacentral:rRNA from 1 species